GACGAACGCUGGCGGCGCGCCUAACACAUGCAAGUCGAACGGAGCUGAGAGGAGCUUGCUUUUCUCAGCUUAGUGGCGAACGGGUGAGUAACGCGUGAGUAACCUGCCCUGGAGUGGGGGACAACAGUUGGAAACGACUGCUAAUACCGCAUAAGCCCACGGAUCCGCAUGGAUCUGCGGGAAAAGGAUUUAUUCGCUUCAGGAUGGACUCGCGUCCAAUUAGCUAGUUGGUGAGGUAACGGCCCACCAAGGCGACGAUUGGUAGCCGGACUGAGAGGUUGAACGGCCACAUUGGGACUGAGACACGGCCCAGACUCCUACGGGAGGCAGCAGUGGGGGAUAUUGCACAAUGGGGGAAACCCUGAUGCAGCGACGCCGCGUGGAGGAAGAAGGUUUUCGGAUUGUAAACUCCUGUCGUUAGGGACGAUAAUGACGGUACCUAACAAGAAAGCAACCGGCUAACUACGUGCCAGCAGCCGCGGUAAU
rnacentral:rRNA from 1 species